rnacentral:rRNA from 1 species
AAGGAGAAGUCGUAACAAGGUUUCCGUAGGUGAACCUGCGGCAUGAACGAAAGAGUGCCUCCGGUCGCCUCGGAAACGCUGCGCGCACCGGAGGCGAAUCUUGUCUAGAACCAUAACGACUCUCGGGCAACGGAUUAUCUCGGCUCUCGCAUCGAUGAAGAACGUAGCGAAAUGCGAUACUUGGUGUGAAUUUGCAGAAUCCCGCGAAUCAUCGAGUCUUUGAACACAAGUUGCGCCCGAAGCCACCUGGCCGAGGGCACGUCUGCCUGGGUGUCACGCAUCGUUGCCCCCAACCCCAUCGCCCUGCAAAGAGGCGGUGGGGGCAUGCGGGGCGGACAUUGGCCUCCCGUGGGCUGAUGCCUGCGGCUGGCCUAAAAACGAGUCCUCGGCGACGAUCGCCACGACAAUCGGUGGUUGACAAACCUUCGUGACCCGUCGUGCGCGCAUCGCCGCUCAACGCGUGCUCUUUUGACCCUGUCGCGUCGCGCUCGCGACGCUUCCAACGCGACCCCAGGUCAGGCGGGACUACCCGCUGAG